rnacentral:rRNA from 1 species
CCUAGGAUGAGUGGCGAACGGGUGAGUAACACGUGAGUUACCUGCCCCUGAUUUCGGGAUAAGCCUGGGAAACUGGGUCUAAUACCGGAUACGACCACCUGACGCAUGUUGGGUGGUGGAAAGUUUUUCGAUCGGGGAUGGGCUCGCGGCCUAUCAGCUUGUUGGUGGGGUAAUGGCCUACCAAGGCGACGACGGGUAGCCGGCCUGAGAGGGCGACCGCCCACACUGGGACUGAGACACGGCCCAGACUCCUACGGCAGGCAGCAGUGGGGAAUAUUGCACAAUGGGGGAAACCCUGAUGCAGCGACGCAGCGUGCGGUAUGACGGCCUUCGGGUUGUAAACCGCUUUCAGCAGGGAAGAAGCGAAAGUGACGGUACCUGCAGAAGAAGUACCGGCUAACUACGUGCCAGCAGCCGCGGUAAUACGUAGGGUACGAGCGUUGUCCGGAAUUAUUGGGCGUAAAGAGCUCGUAGGUGGUUGGUCACGUCUGCUGUGGAAACGCAACGCUUAACGUUGCGCGUGCAGUGGGUACGGGCUGACUAGAGUGCAGUAGGGGAGUCUGGAAUUCCUGGUGUAGCGGUGAAAUGCGCAGAUAUCAGGAGGAACACCGGUGGCGAAGGCGGGACUCUGGGCUGUAACUGACACUGAGGAGCGAAAGCUUGGGGAGCGAACAGGAUUAGAUACCCUGGUAGUCCAUGCCGUAUACGUUGUGCACUAGGUGUGGGGGACAUUCCACGUUCUCCGCGCCGUAGCUAACGCAUUAAGUGCCCCGCCUGGUGAGUACGGUCGCAAGGCUAAGACUCAAAGGAAUUGACGGGCGCGCGCACAAGCGGCGGAGCAUGCGGAUUAAUUCGAUGCAACGCGAAGAACCUUACAAGGCUUGACAUAGACUGCACCGUUCUGGAACAGUUCUUCUCUUUGGAGCUGGUGUACAGUAGUGCAUGGUUGUCGUCAGCUCGUGUCGUGAGAA